rnacentral:rRNA from 1 species
UGGGGAAUAUUGCGCAAUGGGCGAAAGCCUGACGCAGCAACGCCGCGUGAGUGAUGAAGGUCUUCGGAUCGUAAAGCUCUGUCGGCAGGGAAGAUGGAUCUUACGGAUAAUACCCGUGAGGUUUGACGGUACCUGCAAAGGAAGCACCGGCUAACUCUGUGCCAGCAGCCGCGGUAAGACAGAGGGUGCAAGCGUUGUUCGGAAUUAUUGGGCGUAAAGGGCGCGUAGGUGGUGGCAUAAGUCGAAUGUGAAAUCCCUGGGCUUAACCCAGGAAGUGCAUUCGAUACUGUGUUACUAGAGUUUCGGAGGGGAUAGCGGAAUUCCCAGUGUAGAGGUGAAAUUCGUAGAUAUUGGGAGGAACGCCAGUGGCGAAGGCGGCUAUCUGGACGCAAACUGACACUGAGGCGCGAAAGCGUGGGUAGCAAACA